rnacentral:tRNA from 1 species
GCCUAGGUGGCUCAGUUGGUUGAGUGUCCGGCUUCAGCUCAGACCACGAUCUCGUGGUCUGUGAGUUCAAGCCUCGCAUUGGGCU